rnacentral:rRNA from 1 species
CCUACGGGAGGCAGCAGUGAGGAAUAUUGGUCAAUGGGCGCGAGCCUGAACCAGCCAAGUCGCGUGAGGGAAGACGGUCCUAUGGAUUGUAAACCUCUUUUGUCGGGGAGCAAAAGACGCCACGCGUGGCGUUCCGAGAGUACCCGAAGAAAAAGCAUCGGCUAACUCCGUGCCAGCAGCCGCGGUAAGACGGAGGAUGCGAGCGUUAUCCGGAUGUAUUGGGUGUAAAGGGUGCGCAGGCGGAAGAUCAAGUCAGCGGUAAAAUUGAGAGGCUCAACCUCUUCGAGCCGUUGAAACUGGUUUUCUUGAGUGAGCGAGAAGUAUGCGGAAUGCGUGGUGUAGCGGUGAAAUGCAUAGAUAUCACGCAGAACUCCGAUUGCGAAGGCAGCAUACCGGCGCUCAACUGACGCUCAUGCACGAAAGUGUGGGUAUCGAACAGGAUUAGAUACCCGAGUAGUC